rnacentral:rRNA from 1 species
UACAGAGGUCUCAAGCGUUGUUCGGAUUCAUUGGGCGUAAAGGGUGCGUAGGUGGCGCGGUAAGUCGGGUGUGAAAUUUCGGAGCUUAACUCCGAAACUGCAUUCGAUACUGCCGUGCUUGAGGACUGGAGAGGAGACUGGAAUUUACGGUGUAGCAGUGAAAUGCGUAGAUAUCGUAAGGAAGACCAGGGGCGAAGGCGGGUCUGUGGGACGGGACUGACGCUGAGACGCGAAAGCGUGGGGAGCGAACAGG